rnacentral:tRNA from 1 species
GCGCCUGUAGCUCAGUGGAUCAGAGCACUGGUCUUCGGAACCAGGUGUCGGGGGUUCGAAUCCCUCCAGGCGUA